AUUGAACGCUGGCGGCAGGCCUAACACAUGCAAGUCGAACGAGUGGCGGACGGGUGAGUAAUGUCUGGGAAACUGCCUGAUGGAGGGGGAUAACUACUGGAAACGGUAGCUAAUACCGCAUACCAUCAGAUGUGCCCAGAUGGGAUUAGCUUGUUGGUGGGGUAACGGCUCACCAAGGCGACGAUCCCUAGCUGGUCUGAGAGGAUGACAAGCCACAGUGGAACGGAGGCACGGACCAGAAUCCGACGGGAGGAAGCAGUGGGGAAUAUUGCAGAAGGGACGCAAGCCUGAUGCAGCCAUGCCGCGUGAAUGAAGAGGGCCUUCGGGUUGUAAAGUACUUUCAUCGGGGAGGCGUUACCCGCAGAAGAAGCACCGGCUAACUCCGUGCCAGCAGCCGCGGUAAUUC
rnacentral:rRNA from 1 species